GACUCCAUCAAAAAAAAAAAAAAAAAUUAAAAGUACUAUUUUGGUAAAACAUAAUUUUAAAAAGUAAGUGAUUGUAAAUAAGCAGAUUCUUUUUUCAUGUAUAAAAGAAUAGAUUAGGGGCCUGGCUUGGUGGCUCACAUCUGUAAUCCCAGCACUUUGGGAGGCCAAGGCCAGCAAAUCACCUGAGGCCAGGAGUUUGAGACCAGCCUGGCCAACAUGUGAAACCCCAUCUCUACUAAAAAUAUAAAAAUUAGCCAGGUGUGGCGGUGCAUGCCUGUAAUCCCAGCUACUUGGGAAGCUGAGGCUGCACUCUAGCCUGGACAAGAGAGUGAGACUCUGUCUCAAAAAAAAAAACAAAAACAAAAAAAAAUAGAUUAGGAUAAUAUUAUAUAUAUAUAUAUAUAUAAAAUGUGUGUGUGUGUGUGUGUGUAUAUAUAUAUACACACACACACACAUAGACACAGACCCACCUCUGUUAACGUGACUUCCUUUUAAAUUCAAAGGGCUUUUUGAUAGUAUCAGCUGAAUUACCCUAUAUCAUACUCAUGGUUGGUGAGAAGACAAAAGUCAAACUCAGGGAGACUGGGACUUGAAAAUUAUAACGUAAUAUGAAACACUGCUAAAACAUCCUCAAAACUCUGAAAAUUUCCAAGUAAUUAAUCUUUUCUUCUUUAAUUUACCAAGUUAGUUUUCUAAAAAAUAAAACCCCCUCUUCUUUUACAUUGUUUCUUUUCAUAGCCGAAAUUGUCAGCUCCAAUUAAAUGGUAGGUACUUUCCAUUCUUCUGUGUCCUCUCAAGGCUCUGAGGCCCUAAGACGCAGUCCAGGGUGCACAUCACUGAAGUCCCAGCAGUGAGAUGGGAGAGGCAAAGAAGAAUUAGCAGCUGGUGAUUCCACUGAAAGCACCUCGCCAGUCCGAAGAGUUAAUUACAGCAAAGAAGAGGAUCUUAAAAUUUGACUGAAUUUAUUUAAAAAUCAGUAAUACUAGAGCUGGGCACAGUGGCAAGUGCUUGUAGUCUCAGCUACGUGGGAGGCUGAGGAUCGCUUGAGCCCAGGAGGUUGAGGCUGCAGUGACCUGUGUGCAUGCCGUUGCACUCUGGCCCAGAAAACAGAGCAAGACCUUGUC
rnacentral:lncRNA from 1 species